rnacentral:rRNA from 1 species
GAUGAACGCUGGCGGCGUGCCUAAUACAUGCAAGUCGAGCGGAAAGACGAAGGGCUUGCUCCUCUGACGUUAGCGGAAGACGGGUGAGUAACACGUGGAUACCCUACCUAUAAGACGGGGAUAACUUCGGGAAACCGGAGCUAAUCCCGGAUGAUAUAUUGAACGGCGUGGUUCAAGAGAGAAAUACGGGUUUGCUGUCACUUCUCGGUGGAUCCGCGCCGCAUUAGCUAGUUGGUAAGGUAACGGCUUACCAAGGAGACGAGGCGUAGCCGACCUGAGCGGGUGAUCCGCCACACUGGAACUGAGACACGGUCCAGACUCCUACGGGGGGCAGCAGUAGAGAAUCUUGCGCAAUGGGCGAAUGUCUGACGGAGCAACGCCGCGUGAGUGAUGAAGGUCUUCUGAUCGUUAAACUCUGUUAGUAGGGAAGCACAAAUGUGUAAGUACCUAUGCACGUCGUGACGGUACCUAAUGAGAAAGCCCCGGCUAACUACGUG